rnacentral:sRNA from 1 species
GAAGGAGCGAAGGGGAGCCCCGACCCGGCCUGGCCCGACCCAAUGUUAUUUCUAUAAUUCAAUCACGUGUUAUCGAAUCGAAUAAUUGAAUAAGUCAUCGUGUUGAGCGACACAAAUUUCAUUUCAAUACGCAGAACGUUUAACGAACGAAUCAGGGCCUCAAAGACGAUUGCCGAUGAUUGAACGAUGGAACUCCGAUGGAACGGGAAGGUGCAGGCAGAGGGAAGAGUCAAAGUCAGAUUCAGAUUCAGAGGCAAAUUCAAAGCAGACCCAGAGGCAGAGUCAUGCCCAGAGACGCAGACGAAGACGGAGACGGAACCAGCGGCCAGCGGCAACUAGCGGGUAGGGGAGUCCGCCGAUUCCCGGUCCCCGAUGGUUGCCAAUUGGUGUGGGAAAAUGCUGCUCUGCCAGUGAAUCGGUAACAGGCGUGGCGGCUGGCACUUCGAUUAACAUGUUCACCUCGUUGCGAUUUCAAUCGAAUUUUAAUUGCCCCGAAAGUGGAUCUACUGAUUGAGAGAUAUAGCUUUCUGUUUUGGUUCGAUUUUGUGUAUGGCCGUUAAAGGGUGGAAUGAUCUUUGAUAAAUGAGGAUAUCAUGGCAGAUAAUCCAUUGAGCAUACGUCAACGAGCCUUCGUUCAAUGAAAGCCAUGAAACCCUCAAGUCUAAAAUGUUAAAGAGGAAAUUGGGGAAAAAGUACAGACAUCGUUAAGGUACUAAA